UCUUAGCCUCCCAAUCAUUCCUUGUAUAUCUGUAUAUACACUGCUCUAAAGAUACUACUUGAAGCUGGGUAAUUUAUGAAGAAAAGAGGUUUAAUUGACUCAAAGUUCCACAUGGCUGGGGAGGCCUCAGGAAAUGUACAAUCAUGGUGGAAGGUGAAGGGGA